GAAGAGUGGGAUCGCGUACGGCUUUCAAUUAGCUUUGCACAAGGGAAAACUUGUGACAUUGAUGCCAUGAAUUACAUAUUAUCUCUGAGCUACUUUGACCUUCCUCUUGAUCUAAGAAGUUGCCUAUUAUACUUGACUAUGUUUCCUGAAGAUUCUGUGGUUGAAAGGCAACGAUUAGUACACAGAUGGAUUUCUGAGGGUUUCAUCCAUGGCAAAGGCGGGGAAGAUCUUAUUGAGCUAGGAGUGGCAUAUUUUCAUGAGCUUGUGAACAGAAGUUUAAUACAGCCGGUGAAUAUAGGGUAUGAUGGUAAGGCAUGGGAUUGCCGAGUCCAUGACACCAUUCUUGAUUUCCUCAUUUGCAAGUCUAUUGAAGAGAACUUCUGUACAUUCUUAAGCGAUCAUAUAAAACGAGAUAGCAAAAUUCGCCGGCUUUGUCUCACUGGAAAUAAAGAUCAAGGCAGGGUGGAGCAAUUGGAUUUAUCACAUGCUCGAUCACUUGCUAUUUUUGGCAAAGCCGAUCUAAUUCCUUCCCUUGUGAAGUCAAAUGCUCUGCGGGUGCUGGAUCUAGCAGAUUGCAAUGGAUUGAAGAAUCAUCAUAUCAAAGAUAUUGGAAGACUUUGUCAGCUGAGAUACUUGACCACCAGUCGGUCAAGUAUACGGCCAAGUAUACGGUUAAGUAUACUGUUAAGUAUAAGUGAGCUUCCUAAACAGAUUGGAGACUUGGUGUAUCUGGAGACGCUAGACGUGUCCAACUCAAUGUUAGUUGAGCUGCCUGAAUCGGUUACUCGUCUAAAACGACUGGCGCGGCUUUUUGUUCCAAGAUAUACUAAAUUGCCUGAUUGUAUUGGAAACAUGGAGAAGUUGCAAGAGCUUGGGAAUUUUAUAGACAUUUUUGAGCAAUCAGUGAAGUUUGUUGAAGAGCUUGGCAAACUAAUAAAUCUGAGGAAACUGAGUGUUUAUUUGGACGACAAAGCAAGCUACAAGAAAAAAGAAAUGAUAGUGUCCUCCCUCUGUAAACUGGACACAUGCAAGCUUCACACCCUCUCUAUUCAGUUUUCAAUUGAAGGAAAGGAUGCUGGAACCUUGAUAGAGGGGCAUCCAUUUUUUAUCCCUGCUCUCAAAUGCAUUCGAGAGAUUUACCUCGCCAAUAAGCAACUCUGUUGGAUUACCAAAUGGAUUAUUUCACUCGCCAACCUAGAGAAAUUAACUCUCUGCGGCCAGUGGGUAGUGCAGCAGGAUGUUGAGAUGGUUGGAAGCAUACCUAGUCUGCUCGAAUUUUUUGGGCCAAAGUUCGCAAAACCUGUCAUCAUUCGCAGCAGUGGGGGGUUUCAACGGUUGCAGGCGUUCACGUUCUGGUUGCAUGAUAGAGAGUUUAUGUUUGAAGCGGGGGCUAUGCCGAAUGUCAGGAAGCUCUUCAUCAACAUUUGUCUAAUAGAUAUCAAAUGUGCAAGUGGUGGUCGUGGUGGUUUUGAUGAUAUUGGCAUCCACCACCUCUCCAGCCUUGCUGAGCUCUAUGUACAGAUAUUUUGUCAUGGCGUGAAAGUUGCAGAUGUGGAGGCUGUGGAGGUUGCUUUCAAGAGCAUGGCCGAAGCACACCCCAACCGUCCUAAGUUGAAAUUGAUGAGAGCAUAAGGUAAUUUUAUGGUAAGGGAUGAUUAGUGAUUUCCCUCUCUAUCGAGACCAGACGGUGAUCGGAUAUGACGAGAUGCUGAAGGAGAAUUACAAGGUGAGGGGAUGCACGGAAGUCGUGCUUCCGCAAGCACGACUGGAGCUACGGUUUUUUCUUACUUCAUCUCUCUUAGAUGCUGAUGCUACCUGCGGCUGCCAGAUCGAUCAGGCCAGUGUAGUUUUAUUGUUUUCCCUGUGCUUUAAUAUCUGAACAUUUCUCGUGAUUUUUCACCACCCAGCUUUGCUUGCAUCAGCUGCUUGGUGUGGUGGUUAUCAUCUUAAAGAAUGAUAUAUGUGGUUCACUUGCAGUACGUCUCGAUGGAAUAUCUGAUAACGCCUGGGGUUAAGCUGUUUUUGGUGAUAAAUUUGUGCGUGGCUGGCUAGCUCAUUUACAGUCUUUAGAGACAAAUAACAUCCAUAUCAUAUCCUAAAGCCGGUGGAUUGUUCGGCCUCUCAGCGCUCCCCCGAGGCUUGACUGGCUUCCUUUUAUUUGGACGGGCGUUGUCAAAGAGGGAGGGAAAGCAGGGAGCUUAUUGGGGGCUCACUCGCGAUCUCGAGCUGGCGACCCCACGCUCCUCCCACCACCUCGCCUCCGCCAUCGCGGCCGCGGGUCUCCUAGCCGCCGCCGCCGCCCCCCACGCCGCCCAGCGCAGCUGCCGCACGCCCCCGGCGCGGGCGGCGCCGCCACCCUUGACUCUUUAUUUCUCUUCUCUUAUCCUCAAUCCCCAGCCCCGAACAGAUCUCUCUCGCACGAAACUCCUCUCUCGAUCCACAACCGCACGCGCUCCGCCCCGCCCCGUCCCCCGGCGGCAAGACCUGUGGGCCUGGCCCGAACCCUGAGAGCAACGAACCCCUAGCGGCACCGGCCGGGCCGCCGCCCAUCUCCUCCUUCCUCGUCCUUCGCGACUGCUCCUUCGCAGGUCACCACAGCAGAGCCUCCUUCUGUAAUUCGUGGUUACAACUGCUUGCGGGGUGCGGGGUCCGGAAUCACGGGGAGUCCAGUGCCAGAAGGCUGCCGUCUACGCCUGGCCUCCGCUGCUCCGGUCUUCCAUUCCACGUUCUGAAUUUGAGGUAAGUUCUUGAUCUAGAGGACUUAUUGGUUCGUGAUUUGGCUAGGGAUUUGGUUCUUAAUCUUAAUCUCAGGGGAAAUUUGUUCUUGUUCUUUCAGUUCUGCUCCUCCUCCUUUCUCCGUCGACAUUAUAUUGAUGCACUGCGGUCUACUCAUAGAGUAGCACUAUUAUAAGAUACAAAAAAAAAUGCUAUUCCGUAUUAAGAAUGCUCAUGAUAGUUUUCUAAUAAGGAUGUAGAAUGAAUCUGAUGUUGUUAGUUUCAGUGAUCUUUGGUGCUGGUAAUACGCAUGAUUGUGCCCUUAUUAAAUCUAUUGGUUCGAGUUUCUUAUCAAUCCAUUUCAUUCCUGAUAAUUGCAAGAUGACAUUCUUUUUCAUUUUCAGUUAUGCAGUUCUAUUUCUUGACGGGAGUUCUUUUUCAGUUUUAGUUAUUCUUCUUAAAUUUGUUACCUUCUGAUGUUGAACUAUAUAUGCUCUCCACUAUGUUCUUCAGCAUGCUGCUAGGCUGCUUAACAUUGCUAAGACAUGUGAACUUCUAAUGAUCCUUUGAAUAUGAGAUUCAUGUAUUCUGUUAGAGUUUACUGCAUGUUAGUUAGAGAUACAUGCAUACUAAUUAGAGAUACUGCAUGUAAGAGUUUCUACUGCAGAUUGUAUAUGACUGCUUUGUAUCUCAUAUUGCUCAAUGUGGAAUUGUGGAGUUUGAUUUGCCGAAAGAUGAGGAUAGGACCAUGAACAAGACUUGCAAGUGUACAAGUAAUCAAGAGAAGUUGAUACUUCUGGUUAUGAGAGUGAUCUUUUCAGGAAUAAGAAUUGUAUUUAUGUAGUAUUGUAUCAAUUGUAUCAAGUUUGUUACUUCUGCAGUACAUCCUGGCUCGUUAAUUCGACUUGUGGGCAUGCCUUUACCUGUAGAAAAAAAAUAUGAAUUUAGUUGUGCAUGGCUGAUGUAUCUGAAAGACAAUCUUCAUAUAAUCUGACAGCUGGCAACCUAUGCACGGGAUAAACGGGCUGACGUUGUUGAGCCCAUAUGUCUCAGCUUCGUCCGUACGGUAGAGGUCGGCCGCUUCCCCAAGGGCCCGGUUGAGUGAAAAUCUUUCUUGCUUAUACCUGGAUGCGGAGCAGAUCUUGGUUGGAUAUGUGUGUGGAUUUUAUUACUAGCAAAAUGCAUAUCCAUACGUUUGUAUUAUUCUGAUAUGCGUUGAGUUCAAGUUCAUACAUUUUAUCCGUAUAUGUGUGAGUUCAAGUUCAUGUAUUUUGUUUUGACUUCUUCCGGAUAGCGUAUUGUUAAAAAAUUCUGCGUUGCAUUCUUAAGUUGAAGUUCGUGUUUUUGAAUUCUUUUGGGACUCUGUGCUCUUAAUACAUCUUGUUUGUGGAAGAAUAUACAUCCAUAUGUGCAAAAUGUUGGCUCAUAUGGUUGCUUUGUGUUUUCGAUUUGAGGAUUCGGAGCAUAAAACAUUAAGUGGUACAGAAUAUCUAGAUAAUGUAAUCUUCGUCAACUUGAAAAGUACUGGAGAUUCUAUUUUGACCAAAAAAAAAUUCAAUGACUGGAGAUUCUAUUUUGACAAGAAAAAAAAUCGAUGAGAGCACGAAUAAAUGGUACCAAAUUGAUUGCCUUUUUUCGUAAAUAAUUAUAAACGAUGAUACUAAGUUCACUGAUUAAUUAUUGCACAUUUGGUGAUUAAUAUUCAAAGAAUAUAAUGUUUGGAAUCUGAAGUGUUAGAAAAAUAUGCAUCAAUUUUCAGGUAUGCGAUGCAAAAAUACAAGGUUGCAUAAUGAAAAAACAACUACAAAACAUAGCAAUUUAUUUUUGCGUGAUUGUCACAAAAAACAUGAGAAAAGUGUUGCCUAGAUCGUUUUAGUUUUGUCAACAACGCAGCGAAGCGCGCGUCCCCUGCUAGUAUGCCUAUAACUUUGGCCCAAAGGCCACCUCUAUUCUAAUUCUGCAGUGUAUAUAGGUAUCUUCCGAUCCAUAUUAGUUAUCGAAAUAUUACAUGUAUCUAGACACUUUUUAGACAUAGAUACAUCCAUAUUUGAGCAAAUUUGAGACAAUUAAUAUGAAUCGGAUAAAACCGUUUUUUUUUUGCCGUGAAUGAUAAGGGGUGCCAGUCAAAUCUAGCCAUCCAUGCAUACGGGUACUUUAGAUAUUUACUAACAAUCUUUUUUUUUCUUCCUAACAGCAAAGCCAAGACUUAAUAGUCUGUGGACAGACCACAAGGGAAGAAGCAACGACCAUUUCGAACACUUUGCAACAUUUUUGUUCUCUUUCAGGUCAAACUCCUAAUUAGGCCAAGUCUUCGGUUUUGUUUAGUAAGAAUGUGGUGGAUGCGCAGAGGGACAUCGUCAAAGGUAUUUUUAGAGUGGUAGAUAUGAAACCUGAAUCCUUCCAUUUAGGCCAUCCUCUUACAUUGCCUGCCAAAAAUAGAACUACUGCUUAUGAUUUUGUCUUAGACAAGUUAAAAAGUAAACUUAAUGGUUACAAAGCUAACAAGAUUUCUCAUGCGGGCAGACUUGUUCUAAUCAAAUCAGUUUUAGCCGCUCUUCAUGUGUACUAUAUGUCUAAUAUUUUGUUUUCCAAGAAGAUGUUGGCUAAAAUGAAUGCAGUGAUAAGAGACUUCUGGUGGACUGGUGUUCAAGAGGAGAAUCAAAAGAAGCCCCUCUACCUCAAGGUUUGGGCUGAGAUUUGUAAAUCCAAAAAAGAAGGUGGUCUAGAAAUUAGAAAUUUAGAAGCUGUCAACAAAGCUAUUCUAGUUAAUUCUGCUUGGAAAAUUGUCAGCACUAAUCAUAGCACUACAGCAAGGAUCUUAAAAUCUAAAUAUUUUCCCUAUACCUCUUUCUGGAAAGCGCCCACUAAUAUUCCUAAGUUCGCUUUCUAGUCUUCAAUUCUUAAGGUGAGGGAACCUCUUAUCAAUGCUGUUACUUUGCAAACAUCCAAAGGUAAUACUUGCAUUUGGUCUAGUCCUUGGUGUCCUUUCUGGAAUAACAUUCACGAUAGUCUUUUUAUCCAGAAUUAUGGUUUCCAUUAUCCUGCUACGAUUAAAGAUCUUUGGAUUCCUAAUACAAAAGUUUGGAAUAUGCAACUUUUAGUUACUCUCUUUGGUCAACAAAAAGCUAAUAUUGUCUCCCAGAUUCCUAUAAAUGCUAGUGACAAUGAAGACAUCUUAAUUUGGAAACACACAUCUUCAGGAAUUUGUACUUCAAAGAGUGCUUACCAGAUUUUUAGUCCAGGCUUUUAUGGCCUUAAUGCAGGUCCUCAUCAAAUCCUCUCCGAAAAAUCAAGACAUAUCAUUCCCGCGAUUUGGUUAAACAAGGAUAUGCCUCCAAGAGUCCAAGUUUUGGGCCGUAGGCUUAUGAGACAGGCCAUUUCUUCAGGAUGUAGAGCUGCAUCAAGAUCUUUUCACAUUGAUAAAAAAUGUUGCAGGUGUGGAGCCAAUGAAAACGACUUCCAUUUGUUUUUCUCUUGUCAUUUUGUUCAUGCAGUUUAGUUUGUGUCGCCGUUGGGUUUGAGAAUGGAAGGUUUGAUUGCUCAAGGUGUGCAUGAAAUUGAAGAUGCUCUACACAUCAUCAUGAUGACCUACAAAACAGAGCACUCCAUUCCCCUUGUUUUUAAUAUUCUUUGGUCUAUUUGGAAGGCGAGGAAUGACCUCCUGUUCAACAAGAUUAAUAGCUCUCCUAUGCAGAUUCUUUAUGCAGCAAAAGCCUUAACUUAUGCAGGUCAAGUGAAUCAUGAAGAAAGAGGAGAUGGACACGCUCAGUUGAGGUGUAACACGAAACCAAGUCAUAGCAACUUCACCAUUUCAUCUCUCAUUGACAGUAGCAGAAUAUCUUCAGGGCCUACCUUCUUCACGAAUGCUUCCUGGAAGAAUACUUCUACAAAUGUGUCUCCAAGUUCCUUUCAGCUUUACAAGCGUCGCAUGGUUGAAGGACCUAACAUUUUCACUGAUGCUGCUUGGAAACCCCCAGCUUCAAAUGUGUCUCCAAAUGUGUCUUUUCUUACAGGUACAAAGAGUAAAGUAGGUAUUGGUAUCUUUAUGCAUCGGAUUGGAGAACAAAAGUAUUCUGUUUUUGUGGAGGCUUCCUCAUUUGCAAGUUCAGCACUUGAAGCGGAGGCUCGAGCUCUGGAGCUAGCGGCACAGAUUGGAACAGUCAUGAGAGUACAUCAACCUAAUUUAUUAAAGCUGUGAUAAAGAGAGACCCAAUCAACCAUCUAGGACAUUGGUCUAUAAGGCCAAAUCUACACCAAAUUCUCUCCUGUAUUCAAAACUUGGAUUCAAGAGUUAUCAAAAUCAGAAGAGAAAACAACAAGAUAGCUCACAGGCAAGCACAGGAUGCUUACAAGCUUCAUAAUGUUCAAGCUUGCUUUUAUAGUUGUGCAGGGUUAGCACAUAAUCCAUCAUCUUGCCCUGUAAAAGUUGUUAUCAGCUCUCUAAAUGUGCAGGUUUGCACAUUGUUGUUAGUGACAUGUUUAUGAAGUAAUAAAAUCUCCUUUUGCAAAAAAAGAAAAAAAAAACAGCAAAGCCAAGAACCACGCCUGGUUAGUUUAUUAAUUAGAGCUUAGGAUGAACGGGCUGAUUUGCCACAGAUCGUAUUUGUGUACUACUGCCGCAAGUUUACAACAUAAUUAAUCCCAGGGAAGAUGAUUAGUAAGAAGAAAUAACAUUCAGAAAGAAACAUAAGAUAUUGGAAUGAAGUAUGUGUGUCUUAUCGUGAAACGGGGAACUGAAAUAUGUUUCCAUACAAGCAAAUUUCUCUGUUUCUUAACUGAAGUGAUUUAUACCUGUUGUUUAAUCGACGUAAAGGUAACCAUUAGAUUGUGAUGGAUAAAUGGUCCUUAUUAAUUUCGGGGUAAACAUCCUUUUUCCCUUUAUUCUACCAGGAACCAAGUUUAAAGUUGAAAAAAAAAGUUUAAAGUUGUAAAAGAACUUUCCUGAAAAAAAUCAUGCCUUAAGAUCGGGAGAGUAGUAGCUGCUUAAUUAAUCUCCGACCGUCCGAUCCUGAACCAGCGGCCGCAAUCACUCUCGACCCUGCCGUCUGCCCCCAGUGAAUCCCCUUCCCUUGGAACCACAGCGACGGCGCCGCUGCCCGCCGGCGUGCGAGCAGGCGGUCCACUGCGGUUUGCCUCACUCGUCCAUGUAAGGUAACCCGAGACUCACCGGCGGCCUCUUCCCUUCCUUUACUCCCCAGCACGCGCUCUCCUCUCACUCGCGCGCUUCUCGGCCGUCCUUGCGGUUUCAGGGUCAAGGUCGCCGGCCGUCCCCGCCGGCAAGGGCGCGAGGAAAUUUACCGCCCUGAUGAAGGCUGCUAGCGGGGAGAGGCCCAGGCCAGGUAGGCUGCCAACAUUCCUCUGUUCCGCUGUACUGUACUAGUACCUCUUAAUUCAGUUCAGUUUAAAGUUGAGUUCGACAGACACCAGCAGCAUUGGCAGUGAAACCAGAUCGAUUGCUGGGAGUGGGAACGAGCAGCAUCUCAAAACCCUGUGCCUUCUCUCACUUGGUUUUUGUUCUGCAUGGCCUAGGAUAACUAAACUGUAUGCAUUUUCAGUGCCUGCUGCCUCCUGGGCUGGUCUCUUUAUGUGAUCUGAAGAUGCUAAGAGAAUGAAUUGCCUUUGUCAGUGGAUCAAUAUUCCCUGGAAUAACAUGAGUGGACCAAUAUUUCGCUGGUAUAAUUAAGCUCGAUCUGCAUGCCGUCAAACAGUUAUGUCGGGGCGACAAUUAAGGAGGUGGUGCUCACCAGUGAACGAUUCCUUUCAGAAAGUUGAAGACGACAGGAGGAGUCAGCAGAGCACUCAGCUGACAAGUGAGCAAGCAGUCUCUCACACUCAAUUAUUGAGUUUACCCAUUACCUCGAGAGUUGCCAACACAAUAAGUGAAAGUGAAGUGAUAAUAUUGGCACCGACCGGUGCAUGCAUUUCUCCUCUUGUGCUCUAAACGCAUCAUUGUCCUUAUUUUCUCAGAAAGCACUGGAUGCUAUUCUCCUCCUACUUGGUCUCUUUAUGUGUUUUAAACAUGCUAAGAGAAAUGGUGUUUGAUAAUGGAUCGAUAUUCCCUGGAAUAGUAAUCCGAGUGGACUAAUAUUCACUCGAGUAAUUAAGCUCGCCAGUGAACUCGUGAUCUGCAUGCAGUCAAACAGUCUGAACGGUUCCUUCCAGACUAAAAUCUGGAGGUUGCAGACACAAUAAAGUGAGUGAACCGAUAACAUUGGCAGUUGUCUCAAGAAGCACCGGAUGCUAGCUCUUCUCCUCUCCCCCAUUAAAGGCAGCUACUCUGCUCAAGAAGCUCCAGGCCACCAAGCAGUGGAUCUCGUUGACCGGCACCAAAAACCAUAUCCUCGUUCUUACCAGGUGACACUCCCUUUGUUUAUGUACCGAUUUCACCUCCUCCUUCUGGACUACCACAACCUGACAUCCUCCUCUGUUUUGGUCCAACCAAGAAGUAACACCUUCAUUUCAGUUCAAGGAGGGAUCAACGUGAUUUGAUUUCAGUGUCUCGGACUGAUGAUAAAUUAAGGCGCUCUUUCUCUAUCUCUUCCUUGUAAUCCAUUUGUUGCCUAACACUUCAGGCAGCAGUUUAGCCAGCAGAUUGUACGAAACAAAAGGAUAAUUGACAGUCUAGUUCGCCAAUAGCUACAACAUGAUCCAGAUCUGGGGUUUGUUUACUUCAUCAGUCUACACAUAAACCAAAAGAAAAGAGGCACAGUUUCUUCCCUUCAUGGCAACCACUGCGUAUGCUGUUUGCAAGCCAAUAAUAACCAGCACAAACUAGCUAGGCAGAGAGAAUUCUAUUCUGAUCAAGUGGACAACAAUGGCCGAACUUUUGGUGAGCGCGUCCACGGGUGCCAUGGGUUCCCUUCUUGGAAAGCUGGGCACUAUGCUCAGCAAUGAAUACAAGCUGCUCAAGGAUGUUCGUGAUGACAUCAAGUUCCUCAAGGAUGAGCUCGAGGCCAUGCAAGCAUUCCUUGUGAUGAUGGCAGAUGAGGAGGAACCUGACCAGCAAUCCAGGCUUCGUGCCAAUGCUGUGCGGGAGCUGUCGUAUGAGAUCGAGGACAGCAUCGACAAGUUCAUGUUACACGUGGAACGUGAGCCUAGUUCCACAUCCGACGGUAUCAUGAAGCUUUUUUACAAUACAAAGGACAAGAUAGCAAACAUAAAGAUCCGCCAUAAGAUUGCUAACGACGUCAAAUAUAACAAGAGCCAAGACAAUGAGGUCAAUGCGAGAUACGCUAGGUAGGUACAUAAACAAGUUUGUAGAGCUUUUUGCAUUUCAAGGUCUUGUUGUACUAUUAGUGAGUUCAUAUACUCUAAUAUGCCAUCAAAUUUUAUCAGUUAUUUGGCCUUCUGUCUAAUUUCUUCCCACAAAUGAAGUACAAGAUCGACGAGUCUUCCAGAACUAGAAAUGAAAAGGUUGACCCUCGACUGCGUGCGGUCUAUAAAGAUGCAUCAGAGCUUGUCAGGAUCGAUGGUCCAACAGAUGAGCUUGUCAAGUGGCUGAGGGACAAGGAGGGUGAGGUGGCACAUCACCCAAAACUUGUAUCUGUUGUUGGAUAUGGAGGGUUAGGCAAGACGACUCUCGCGAGACAGGUCUAUAACAAGCUUGGAGCAAACUUUGAAUGUCGGGCUUUUGUGUCGAUCUCACGUAGCCCUGAUAUGAUGAAGAUUUUAGGUUCUAUAUUAUCUGAAGUCAGCAAUGGAAAGGAACAUGCUAGAUCAACGCAUCAGCAAAUUAUCGACCAGAUCAGAGACAUCCUGAAAGAUAAAAGGUACCGAACUAUCAUAUUGUACAUAAGGUUUGUAUUUGUACUCAAUCAGUCUGACUGUGUGCAUUCUCCAAAUGCACUGGCCGGCAGGUGUUUUCUACAAUCAUAAAAAAAAAUAAGUCCUAAAAACUUUGUAGCACUGCCUUUAUAGUAGGUGUAGUGGAUAGCUAGAAAAGCUUCAUGCCUAUCCUUCCAUGGUUUUCAAAUACACAAAUCUUGCUACAUAUUAGUUUGUUACUUUUUUUUUUACUCAAAAACAGUAGGAGAGGCUCCUACUGUGGUAUAUAUUAAUAGCUUAUAUGUACAAAGUUACAUGGAGUGACCCCAGAUUACAUUAAUGGAAACUAUCUAGUAAACUCUCAAACAAAGGGGAUAGAGUUUGUGGCACUCUAGAGCCAAGCAAAGCAAAAUCACUCUUGAACCUGGCUUUCCAGCCUUGAAAAGAUGGCUGCACUCCCUCAAAAAUGAAAUCAUUCCUCUGUUUCCAUAUAUUCCAAGCACCAAGUGCAAAUACUUCGAAGAAUAAUUUGUUGUUGAAGGCAGCUUUGACAGAAGAAAGUGCAGUAAUACAUGGGACAUCUGCCGGCCAGUGAAUCUUCAGAAAACACCAACAUCUUGUACUGAAUUCACACGAAGCAAAUAAAUGAUCUAUUGUUUCUUCUUCUCCCCUCGAGCAAAGACAGCAGGAGAAAUCAUUAUUUUGCACCUGAUAAUGUCUCCUCUUUAGCAUAUUAUGAGUAUUCAAUCUAUCAGCUAGCAUAAGCCAUAUGAACACUUUUGCUUUCAUUGGAUUUCCAAAUCCAAUUGAAUGGUUUCGGAGGGACCAACUCUCUGAAGCAAAACUAGUAGUAAGCUCUGGAACAAUAAGGUUUUCUCCAAAUAGGGACCCAAACAUCUGAAACUUCUGAAUCGGAACUUGCCACAAGCGGCAGAAGGUCUUGAAAUUCCUCGAAGGCUUCUGGGGACAAAGGUAAAUGGAAGUUACUUUGUUAUGGCUUAAUGGUGUUAGUUGCUACAGGUUAUAGGGGUAGACUGCAAAUUCAAAGCCUGCCUAAUUAAUGCGUCGUGAGACAGGAGUAUGUCUGAAAUUGUUGGUGGAAUGUUUUCAGUUCAAGGUUUUGUAAAUAAUAAUAAAUACCUGAUCUGUCGUACUACUUGUAUAAAAAUUGGGUUGUGUUCCCCCUGUCCCCAGAAUAGUUGCACUAAACAAAAAGCUCCAACACAGAAUGUAUGUUGAUUUCAAUCCUCCAAUUCGGACCAUGUAAUGGGUCAAACGUAAAAUAGUACCUCCUAAAAAGGAUUAUUUACAAAUUGAAAAGGCAGAAUAACAAUACCUAGUAAUUAAUUUAAAUCUUGAAGCACUACAAGAUCCGACAUUUGGAAGAUUCAAUCUGCAAACCUCCACAAGUUUUUUCAAGAAAAUGCAAAGCUUGUGUCUCGUGAUGAAUUUUUCAAUAACAAUAACAAUACCUAGUAAUUAAAUUAAUAUUUGACAGACAUACAUGUGCAAUGCAGGUUUUGUAAAAAAAAAAAACUAAACAUGAAUCCUCAUGAUGAAUUUAUACUAUAUUGUACAAAAUGUGUGCUGCACCGUACACACAUAUGUUUGUCAAUUUAUCGGAGCACUAAUUUAUAGAAUAGUCAAUGGUAUAACUCGCAUUCUUCCUGUAUGUUUUUCUCUCCCCCCCCCCCUCCCCCCCCCCCUAUACUGUCGGGGCCUCUCCUACAGUUUUUGGUCAAAAAAAUGGUAUAACUCGCAUAUUCUAUUCGGUUAAUUACUACGAAUGUCUUGUGAACUCUGCUUCGAUACUCCUAUAGUGCAUGAUGUUACUUUUUUUUCCUAUGGCUAUACUGCAGGUACUUUAUCAUAAUUGAUGAUGUAUGGGACAUUGAAACAUGGAAAACUUUGGACUGUGCACUAGUCAAGAAUGAUUGUGGUAGUGUAAUAAUGACCACAACACGUACAUGAUGUGGCUAAAUCAUGUUGCUCUUCUCAUGGGGAUCUUGUCUACAAGAUCCAACCACUUAGUGUUACUGACUCGAAGAAGUUAUUUUUCAAGCGAAUAUUUGGUUGUGAAGAAAAGUGCCCUCCUAACUUGAAAAUAGCAUCGGAAGAUAUUUUAAAAAGAUGUGGUGGUUUGCCACUGGCCAUCAAUGCCUUAUCUAGCUUGCUGGCUGCUGGGAAGACAAAAGAAGAGUGGGAUCGCGUGCGGCUUUCAAUUAGCUUUGCACAAGGAAAAAAUUGUGACAUUGAUGCUAUGAAUUACAUAUUAUCUUUUAGCUACUUUGACCUUCCUCUCGAUCUAAGAAGUUGCCUAUUAUACUUGACUAUGUUUCCUGAAGACUAUGUGGUUGAAAGGCAACGAUUAGUACACAGAUGGAUUUAUGAGG
rnacentral:lncRNA from 1 species